UGGUGGAGUGAUUUGUCUGGUUAAUUCCGAUAACGAACGAGACCUUAACCUGCUAAAUAGUCACUGCUAGCUUUGCUAGCAGCCUGACUUCUUAGAGGGACUAUUGACGUUUAGUCAAUGGAAGUUUGAGGCAAUAACA
rnacentral:rRNA from 1 species